GGCUGAAUGAGUUCGUUCCACAGGCAAGGAGUGUCUGGGAGUCCCAGGGAACAAGAACACGAAUAUAGUUGUGGCACUCGUCCUAGAGAAGCCAAAAUUCCAGACCUUUCCAGGCCUCAUCUCCAUGCCUGCACCUCCUGCCACAUGCCUCUUACCUUAUUGGGCACCAGCCCCUCCCCUGCCUCCUGGGCUUGAAGAUCGAAGGAGAAAACGUGAUCCCUGCAGAGAGAGGUAAGGAGGGAUCAGAGCCAAACGAAGGCACCCCACCUGAGCUCCUUACUGCCACCCUGCUCAGGCUCAGUGGUCAGAGACAAACAUCGCAGACCUCCUGCUAUCCCCCCCUUACUCCAUGCCUCGGCAUUUGCGCUCUGGGUCCAAGCAUGUCCACGUCCCAUGGCUUGUACACCUGCAUGUGUCCCCUGCAAGGUGCUGCAGUGGCCAUGCAGGUCCCAUGUCUGCCCAGGAGCAUGCAUGUCGGCCCCACAACAGUGCCACGGCCAGUUUACCGGGCAGCCACUAGCAAGGUCCGGUUCAAGGUUAGGAAUCUCUGAAAGUCCAGCCCAAGUUCGGCAACCACAGCAUCAUCCUCCAGGCCCCGGAACCAAGAUAAUGGGGAAGUCCCUAGAAGACACAGAGAGGUGGGUGCUGAGGCCGAGCCAGGACACCAUGCACUCCCUCAAUACCCUUUCUAGCCGGAUGAAAUCCAGCCAUGGACAUUGUGGAUGAGGAAGACAAGUUGUGAGGUAUUAAAAAAAAACUAGUAAUACAACUAUUAAUAAAAUAAUGCUAGCCCUGAGCACUUAACCUCGGCCAACCACCAUGUUAGCAUUUUAGAUGCCUCGUUUAAUACAACCCUAUAAGGGAAAUACAGUAAAACUUGGCUUGCAAGCAUAAUUCAUUCUGGAAUGAUGCUUGUAAUCCAAAGCACUUGUACAUUAAAGUGAAUUUCAAGAACCA